AUUGAACGCUGGCGGCAGGCCUAACACAUGCAAGUCGAACGAGUGGCGGACGGGUGAGGAAUGUCUGGGAAACUGUCCGAUGGAGGGGGAUAACUACUGGAAACGGUAGCUAAUAUCGCGUACCACCGCAUGUGCCCAGAUGGGAUUAGCUGGUAGGUGAGGUAACGGCUCACCAAGGCGACGAUCCCCAGCUGGUCUGAGAGGAUGACCAGCCACACUGGAACUGAGACAUGGUCCAGACUCCUACGGGAGGCAGCAGUGGGGAAUAUUGCACAAUGGGCGCAAGCCUGAUGCAGCCAUGCCGCGUGUAUGAAGAAGGCCUUCGGGUUGGAAAGUACUUUCAGCGGGGAGGCGUUACCCGCAGAAGAAGCACCGGCUAACUCCGUGCCAGCAGCCGCGGUAAUUC
rnacentral:rRNA from 1 species